rnacentral:rRNA from 1 species
AGAGUUUGAUCCUGGCUCAGAUUGAACGCUGGCGGCAUGCCUAACACAUGCAAGUCGAACGGAAACGAUGGAAGCUUGCUUCCAGGCGUCGAGUGGCGGACGGGUGAGUAAUACUUAGGAAUCUACCCAGUAGCGGGGGACAACUCGAGGAAACUCGAGCUAAUACCGCAUACGCCCUACGGGGGAAAGCAGGGGAUCUUCGGACCUUGCACUAUUGGAUGAGCCUAAGUCGGAUUAGCUAGUUGGUGAGGUAAAGGCUCACCAAGGCGACGAUCCGUAGCUGGUUUGAGAGGACGAUCAGCCACACUGGGACUGAGACACGGCCCAGACUCCUACGGGAGGCAGCAGUGGGGAAUAUUGGACAAUGGGGGCAACCCUGAUCCAGCAAUGCCGCGUGUGUGAAGAAGGCCUGCGGGUUGUAAAGCACUUUCAGUAGAGAAGAAAAGCUUACGGUUAAUAACCGUGGGUCUUGACGUUACCUACAGAAGAAGCUCCGCUAACU